rnacentral:rRNA from 1 species
GCUUACCAAGGCGAUGAUGCAUAGCCGAGUUGAGAGACUGAUCGGCCACAUUGGGACUGAGACACGGCCCAAACUCCUACGGGAGGCAGCAGUAGGGAAUCUUCCACAAUGGACGCAAGUCUGAUGGAGCAACGCCGCGUGAGUGAAGAAGGUUUUCGGAUCGUAAAGCUCUGUUGUUGGUGAAGAAGGAUAGAGGUAGUAACUGGCCUUUAUUUGACGGUAAUCAACCAGAAAGUCACGGCUAACUACGUGCCAGCAGCCGCGGUAAUACGUAGGUGGCAAGCGUUGUCCGGAUUUAUUGGGCGUAAAGCGAGCGCAGGCGGAAGAAUAAGUCUGAUGUGAAAGCCCUCGGCUUAGCCGAGGAACUGCAUCGGAAACUGUUUUUCUUGAGUGCAGAAGAGGAGAGUGGAACUCCAUGUGUAGCGGUGGAAUGCGUAGAUAUAUGGAAGAACACCAGUGGCGAAGGCGGCUCUCUGGUCUGCAACUGACGCUGAGGCUCGAAAGCAUGGGUAGCGAACAGGAUUAGAUACCCUGGUAGUCCAUGCCGUAAACGAUGAGUGCUAAGUGUUGGGAGGUUUCCGCCUCUCAGUGCUGCAGCUAACGCA